GCAUCAGUUGAGAAAGCUGCAUGAGGAAGUAGCUUGGAAGUGAGAAAGAGAUUCAGGGUGAAGUGAGCUGUCAUCACUAUGUUUCCAAAAGGCUGCCUGCCAUGUAGCAAAGGAAUGAGGGUUGUUCUCUCUUUUCUUGGAAGCUAUAAUUAGAACCGAUUGAUGAGAGUUCAAGGGAGGCAAAUGCUGAUGUCAUCUCAAGGAAUGGUAGAACUUUUCAAGAGUUGCCCUGCUCAGGAAAGUUGGAAGCCCCCAUCUCAAGAGGAGCAAGAAAACUUUUCCUAGAGGGCUCCUCUCACAAACAGAGUUGGGGCCACAGUCUCAUUCUAAACCAAUCACUGACAAAAGAGGAUUGAUUGAAUAACUGUUGGGCCAACCAGAUUCACCCAUGGAGGUGGUCAGCUUCU
rnacentral:lncRNA from 13 species